rnacentral:rRNA from 1 species
GGAAGUAAAAGUCGUAACAAGGUUUCCGUAGGUGAACCUGCGGAAGGAUCAUUACUGAUUUAGCGAACCGAGCAUUAGCGAGGUUUUGCGAUCAAUUUAUAUUUAAAACCCACUCUUUAAUGUAUAAAAUUUGUAUUAAUGAUAAAUUAAAAGAUCACUUUCAACAACGGAUCUCUUGGCUCUCGCAUCGAUGAAGAACGUAGCGAAGUGCGAUAAGUAAUGUGAAUUGCAGUAUUCCGUGAAUCAUCGAAUCUUUGAACGCAUAUUGCACUUUCUGGUAUUCCGGAAAGUAUGCCUGUUUGAGGGUCAGUUAAAUAAAAAUCGGUGUUGUUGCUGCCUUUCGUGGUGACGCGUCGGAAUUGAGUUGUCUUACCUUCGGUUAAGUGACUUAAAAUUUUGUAUGAUUUUCGAACGUAUUUAAAUUUAUUUGUACGUUUGAGAUAUCGAAUGUUUAUUAGGUUCGGUCAUUCUAAUGACUCGCGCCUAUAGUUUUUCAUUAAAUGACCUCAAAUCAGGUAAGAAUACCCGCUGAACUUAAGCAUAUCAAUAAGCGGAGGA